UACGUAGGGGGCGAGCGUUGUCCGGAUUUAUUGGGCGUAAAGAGCUCGUAGGCGGUUCGAUAAGUCGGACGUGAAAUCUCCACGCUCAACGUGGAGGGGCCGUUCGAUACUGCCGUGACUAGAGGUCGGUAGGGGAGUGUGGAAUUCCUGGUGGAGCGGUGAAAUGCGCAGAUAUCAGGAGGAACACCCGUAGCGAAGGCGGCACUCUGGGCCGAUACUGACACUGAGGAGCGAAAGCGUGGGGAGCGAACAGG
rnacentral:rRNA from 1 species